GGCAGUGUGGCAUAGUGGUUAGAAAUGUGCGCUCUGGGGCUGGUGAUCCCAGGCUCAAACCCUGGCGCUGUCA
rfam:Pongo abelii chromosome 10.